CUGUAGCUGCCCACAAUGUCCUCCAGUCUUCCUCCUCGUCAACCGAAUCCGGGACCGCCAGUCGGAGGUCGAGUGCCUCUCGACAAACGCCGAGACGACUCCCUCCGAUCGGUACCUGUCGUAUGCGUAACCUGUCUGCAAUGUUGUGGGGUCAGAAUUGCAAUUGCUCGGAGACCGAUCGAUCGACAGAGGAGGAGGAGGCUCGCUUCGUUCUAUUGGCAGAAGCAGAUAGAGACUGCAGUGGUGAUUCGACUCGGACAUCGGCAACGUAUGACACUCGGCUCCUUGCCCAAAAUCACCUGAUUCCACUGAGUAUGCUGACAGAAAGGCCAAUCUGCCAGGCAGUGCAGACAGAGCACACAGUUAAGGCGACGAAGGCUGCGGGUACCGAGAAAGAUUGGGACAACGUAAACAAUAGGUUGACAGGUGACAGCAGCGUUUGCCGAGUCUUGUGGUGCAGUGAAAGUUUGUCUCGGAUGUUUAGCUGGUGUAGCUUGUAGUCAUCUGAAGGUGGAGCCCUCGAAGUUACCAGAAGGCGAGAUUGCAGUGCCGGGCCUACGGGAAGCUCUAAAUCGUGUGGCGCUUUGCCAAUUUAUUAGGGAAAUAUUCACACACUGUGACUAGCCACUGUCCAGAGCAGUUGUUGUCGAGGCUUUUUGUAUUUUUAAUUUAGAGAAAUGAUUGUCCUUAAGCAAGUAAAAUGUCAUAGUUAUUGAAAGGUUAACAAACUCACUACCAUGUGAAACUGGCACAUUUCGUUUGAGGAAAUGUUUAUAUCAAUUCACUUGAGAUAGUAAAUGAAAGGAAUAUAAAUGCAGGUUCCUCCUUGCAUGUCAUAUUAUAGCAGAGGUGCAUCAUUGUUGUUAGAAAAGGAAGGAAAAAUAUUUGACACUUUUAAUGUAAAUUAGUUUUUCUUGGGCCAACAGAAACUAUUUGUUUUAGUUAAAAUGCCUUAUGUAUGCUAAAAAAUGAAUGUAUUUAAAACCCAUAUGCUUUUUGCCUUUGCUAACAGGGCGUUAUUCUGUGUGCCCUCGAAUGUUAUGUUACCGGUUUACAGUUCUCGAUUUUAGGUUUA